AACCAACACCGGCUGCAACAGAGCGCGAGUACUAGAUAGCAACAACAACAUCGCCGUGCGUGUUCUUGUGUGUGUGUGCGUGUGAGAUUGGAAGACAAUGGCUGCAGCUGCGGACGGUGUUGUUCCUACCCUUGCAAUUCGCUCUAGCGUGGCGGUUGAACUGUGGUCAUCGGCCGGACCUAAGUUGCCAUAUGAACACAAGUCAAACUUGCCGCGAGAGGAGACGAAAUGUUCUCGUUCGAUCUGCUUCAGUCCAGAUGGCCGAUAUUUUGCAUAUUCCAACGGCCGGGACGUUAAGGUGCUCGAGGCGUGCAAGGAUGGUGCCGGAGAGUGGCCAGUGCAGUGCUCGUUGCCGCGCCCCAAGGCGUUCUACCUCAAGUUCUCGCCACGUGGCAAUUAUUUGUGCACCUGGGAGCACUAUGCCAUCACCAAGGACCGCCCAGAGGGGUCGCCCAAUCUCCUCGUGUACGAUAUCACCACGGGCACCGAAGUGUUUGCCAUUGUCCAGAAGAACCAAACGAAUUGGGAGCCAUCUUGGUCGUCGGACGAGACCAUCUUCGCUCUAGUCGUCGGCGGCGAGGCUCUGUUCUAUGAUCUGCCCGAAGGAUCGGCUAAAGGAUUCGAAAAUACCCAAAGAAAAAUAGGCGGCAGUCGUGGGGGAAUGUUAUCUCUUGGUCCCGGCCACUGUCCGCCGUAUUUGGCCUUCUACAAUCCCGGCGCCAAGGGUGCUCCGUCCAUGUGCAAGCUGUACAAGUAUCCCGCCCUGGGCCAGAACCAAACGGUCGCCUGCAAGAGCUUCUUCCAGGCGGACCGCGUGGAAAUGUUGUGGAACAAGAGAGGCACUGGCCUGCUGUUGCUAACCAGCACCGAGGUGGACAAGAGCGGCGCCUCCUACUACGGCAAUCAGGCUGUCCACUUCAUGGCCACCAAGGGCGACACUUGCUCCGUGCCGCUGUCGAAGGAGGGACCAGUCCACUGUGUCAAGUGGAGUCCCAAAGCCACCGAAUUCGUGGUUGUAUAUGGCUUCAUGCCCUCCAAGGCAGCUCUCUACAAUCUCAAGUGCGACGUGAUCUAUGACUUUGGAGAGGGUCCACGUAACUGUGCCUAUUUCAAUCCUUUUGGAAACAUCAUUGUGCUCGCCGGUUUUGGCAAUCUGCCCGGAGCCGUCGAGGUAUGGGAUGUGCCCAAACGGGAGAAGCUGGCCAGCUUGAAGCUGGCGGACACCACUGUCUUCGAGUGGCAUCCCAAUGGCGAAUGGUUUGUCACAGCCACCACCGCUCCCAGGCUCCGCAUUAGUAACGGUUUCAAGGUGUACCACUACUCCGGAGCCCUGCUGCACGAGACCAUGUGGCCGCAAAGCCAGGAGUUGCUCGGCAUCGAGUGGCAGCAGUAUGCAGAUAAAACCUUCAGUGAGCCAAAAAUCACCAAGGCCAAGCAUGAGGGGAUUAAAUCCAGUCAGCCAGAAGCGAGCAAAAAGGCCUACACACCGCCCCAUUUGCGUUUGUUGAAGGAGGGAAAGAAUCCAGAGAAGUACUUGCCACAGCCAACCGUACCCGGACUGGCACCAGCAUCAGCAGGUAAUGGAAUGCGCAAGAUUUGGAACAGACAAUAUGAUAUGGACAAUCCGAUCGUGCGACGGAGCGAACAGGGUCAAUGCCAAGUCUCGAGUGGCCGUGAGGGUCGUGAUGCAUCGACACCGACAUCGGUAGCUGCCGCUACCGUGCCAAAUCGGUCCAACAGACGCUAUCGACCCUAUCAGUAUAAACGAUACUAGAAUUAACGAUUCAUCCUCCUCCUUCACCCCUUAAACAUUUCGUAAUACAUGCAAAUUAGGAUUAGGGACUUAUAUUAUGGCAGUGGUGCUAACAACAAAAAGAA
rnacentral:misc_RNA from 1 species